CAGUCAUAGCUCAACGGUAGAGCAGUUUGUCUGCAGCCCUCUGAGGACUGUAUUCAUUCAAGGUGUUGGUUCGAUUCCAACUGAACUGU
rnacentral:tRNA from 1 species